CGACCUUUUGGUCCCGGGCAGCCCCUCUGCCUCCCAAAGCACUGAGGCUGGAUAGCACCAGGCACCCAGCUAGCAGGACAACUCGAGGUGAGGCCCCUGUUUUCCCCGCCCCGCUCGCCGACUCGAGAAGAUGGCUGAUCCUUGGCAGGAAUGCAUGGAUUAUGCAGUAACCCUAGCAAGACAAGCUGGAGAGGUGGUUCAUGAUGCUCUUAAAAAUGAAGUGAAUGUUAUCCUGAAAGGUUCUCCAGUUGAUUUGGUAACUGCUACUGACCAAAAAGUUGAAAAAAUGCUUAUCUCUUCCAUAAAGGAAAAGUAUCCAUCUCAUAGGUAUU
rnacentral:lncRNA from 1 species